rnacentral:lncRNA from 1 species
AAAAUGGAAGGUGUUCAGGGCUCUACUAUACUUCUUGUCUAAUAAAUGUGCCAGAGAAACUUUCUAGGGAAAAUAUUCCCCAAAGUAAGCUUUUAAAAUGUUAAACCACGGCACUUUGGAAACCAAGAUAGAGAGCUUUGUGCCCUGGACCAUUUCUCUGUUCCUUUUUCCUGAGCUAAACCUCCUGUGUAACUAUGUCUUUGUUCUGCAGAGAUGUUUCAUGUUGCUGCCCGCCUGUCUCAGCAAUCAAAAGUGCACCGAGUCAAAGGUGCCCUUUGGAAAACAGUCUGGGUUACAAGAUCGUCCUCUGCAAAGCUGUCUGGAGUGAGUCAAACAAAUCUGAAAACAGUAAGUGUGCUGUUCAUGCCCUUCAGUCAGUAAAGACCUGGAGAAACCUGGCAGUGCUGGAACUUGCCAUGCAACUAGUGUGGGAAGAAAGAAACAACUUGACCCCAGAGGUAUUGCUUCCUCAUGUCCUUCUGCUUACCGACAACCUGGAGCGUCCUUGUUUUUCCCAGAGAGCCCGCAAGGUGUGGGAAAGUACUCAGAGCAGCCUUGGGAAUGCUGCUUCUCCCCAGCUCUCCUGUCUGCCUCUUGCUGGUACAAAGUCUCCAGCCACAAAGUCUGUUGGUGGCCCCUUGCCCAGCCACAAGCAGCUUCUGAGACAGGAGAUUAGGAUGCAGCAAUUUAUUCAUUAUAAACUCCCAGGACCCAUGCAGAACAGUUCCCAAAGCCCUGCACAUGAACGUCUCCCGGGAACUCGAGCAAGCUUUCAAUAGAUGGCCUACACCUGGCAUCAGCCUGAGGCAUGGGGAACACAAAAAGGACAGCCCACAUUAAGUUUCUGCCACUGGUUCACUCCUGCAUGGUGCCCUACCCUCAUGCUGUAGGGUGUACUUCUUUUCCUACUUUUCCUUGAACCAAACUCACUCUGCAGGGCCUGUUUCUUUUCCUACCUUUAAUAAAACUUUGUUACUGUUUGUGCUUGUCUUUACCAGUUCUUUGCUCAGGACAGAAAAAAACCUAGAAAUCACCUCCAGAAAGAGACUCCAGCACCCCAAAACCUGGUAACACUUCCCCAGAAUGCAACUGUGACCUCAGGAUCAUACAGACACUUGAAA